CCUACGGGUGGCAGCAGUGAUGAAUAUUGGUCAAUGGGCGGGAGCCUGAACCAGCCAAGUCGCGUGAGGGAAGACGGUCCUACGGAUUGUAAACCUCUUUUGCCGGGGAGCAACGGGGUCCUUGCGAGGGCCCGAUGAGAGUACCCGGAGAAAAAGCAUCGGCAAACUCCGUCCCAGCAGCCGCGGUAAUACGGAGGAUGCGAGCGUUAUCCGGAUUUAUUGGGUUUAAAGGGUGCGUAGGCGGGCUGUUAAGUCAGCGGUCAGAUGUCGGGGCUCAAGCCCGGCCUGCCGUUGAAACUGGCGGCCUCGAGUGGGCGAGAAGUAUGCGGAAUGCGUGGUGUAGCGGUGAAAUGCAUAGAUAUCACGCAGAACUCCGAUUGCGAAGGCAGCAUACCGGCGCCCAACUGACGUUGAGGCUCGAAAGCGUGGGGAGCAAACAGGAUUAGAUACCCGGGUAGUC
rnacentral:rRNA from 1 species